rnacentral:rRNA from 1 species
UACAGAGGUCUCAAGCGUUGUUCGGAUUCAUUGGGCGUAAAGGGUGUGUAGGUGGCGCCGUAAGUCGGGUGUGAAAUUUCGGAGCUUAACUCCGAAACUGCAUUCGAUACUGCGGUGCUUGAGGACUGGAGAGGAGACUGGAAUUUACGGUGUAGCAGUGAAAUGCGCAGAUAUCAGGAGGAACACCGGUGGCGAAGGCGGGUCUCUGGGCCGAAAUUGACGCCGAGGAGCGAAAGCGUGGGGAGCAAACAGG